UCUUUACGAUUCUAACAUUUUAUCUUCAAUUCCUUUGUUCUUCUUCUUGUUACCGUCUCUCACUCACAAUCCUUCUGGUCGAACCUAGGGUUAGAAACUCAGGUGGUUGAUAAAGAAGAAGUGAUCAGCGAUGAAGACGCAAUUACUAUCGAAGAAGAAUAGUAUUUGAAUUAGUGAUAUUUUGAAAAUUUGAAGUUCUUAGGGUUUCAUUGGAUGCAGCAAAGAUGGAGUACAAAUCUGGAUGAAGGAAUUAGAAUCCAGGCUACUUUAUAUCACAACCAUGGAGUGAAAUUGGGGGGUUUUGUCAUAGACUGAAAUUGGGUUCGUUUUGAUCAUGAAACCAGUUGGAGUAGAUGAUGAUGUUGUGUGUGGCUACUAUUUAAGUUCUGAUGGGUGUUUUGGAGGGUGUAGUAAGAAGGAUGUGAAGGAAAAAUAAUGAAUUAAACAGAUGAAUUUGAUGUUAAUGACAAGGGUCAGUAUUACACUAUUUGUAAAAGUGAUGACCAUGGUGGGAUUGGAUAUACAAAUUGGUUGUUUAAUGGUGGAUGUCUACAGAUCUUGGACAAGAAUAGAGGUGGAGUCAAAGUCUAUAGAUGGUUGAUCGAUGCUGCUAUUUACGUAUCUAGAAGGUGCUUUUGAAUUAAAGGUGAUAGUUGGUACAAUUGAAGACAGUUGGUGGAGGACCUAGAGGUAUUGGAGGCAACUGUGGUAGUCACAGAUUAUUGUGUCCAGAUUGGAUUUAAAGUGGAUGAUUCACCGUGAACCAUGGAUCAAUGAUGUGGUUUAUGUGUUUGUGUAUUUGAACUUUUUUAGUGAAUCAUUAUAAUCAUAUGAAUUCAAACUGCCCA